UUUGAGCGGGGGACAAACAUUUGGAAACGAAUGCUAAUACCGCAUAACAACUUUAAACACAAGUUUUAAGUUGAAAGAUGCAAAUUGCAUCACUCAAAGAUGAUCCCGCGUUGUAUUAGCUAGUUGGUGAGGUAAAGGCUCACCAAGGCGAUGAUACAUAGCCGACCUGAGAGGGUGAUCGGCCACAUUGGGACUGAGACACGGCCCAAACUCCUACGGGAGGCAGCAGUAGGGAAUCUUCGGCAAUGGACGAAAGUCUGACCGAGCAACGCCGCGUGAGUGAAGAAGGUUUUCGGAUCGUAAAACUCUGUUGGUAGAGAAGAACGUUGGUGAGAGUGGAAAGCUCAUCAAGUGACGGUAACUACCCAGAAAGGGACGGCUAACUACGUGCCAGCAGCCGCGGUAAUACGUAGGUCCCGAGCGUUGUCCGGAUUUAUUGGGCGUAAAGCGAGCGCAGGUGGUUUAUUAAGUCUGGUGUAAAAGGCAGUGGCUCAACCAUUGUAUGCAUUGGAAACUGGUAGACUUGAGUGCAGGAGAGGAGAGUGGAAUUCCAUGUGUAGCGGUGAAAUGCGUAGAUAUAUGGAGGAACACCGGUGGCGAAAGCGGCUCUCUGGCCUGUAACUGACACUGAGGCUCGAAAGCGUGGGGAGCAAACAGGAUUAGAUACCCUGGUAGUCCACGCCGUAAACGAUGAGUGCUAGAUGUAGGGAGCUAUAAGUUCUCUGUAUCGCAGCUAACGCAA
rnacentral:rRNA from 1 species